rnacentral:rRNA from 1 species
UACGUAGGGUGCAAGCGUUGUCCGGAAUCACUGGGCGUAAAGGGCGCGUAGGCGGCCCGAUAAGUAGGGGGUGAAAUCUUGCGGCUCAACCGCAAGGCUGCCUUCUAGACUGUCGGGCUUGAGCACAGUAGAGGCAGGUGGAAUUCCCGGUGUAGCGGUGGAAUGCGUAGAGAUCGGGAAGAACAUCGGUGGCGAAGGCGGCCUGCUGGGCUGUUGCUGACGCUGAGGCGCGACAGCGUGGGGAGCGAACAGG